CCAAACCCAUGUGAACAUACCUAUCGUUGCUUCGGCGGGAUCGCCCCGGGCGCCUCGUGUGCCCCGGAUCCGGCGCCCGCCUAGGAACCUUAACUCUUGUUUUAUUUUGGAAUCUUCUGAGUAGUUUUUACAAAUAAAUAAAAACUUUCAACAACGGAUCUCUUGGUUCUGGCAUCGAUGAAGAACGCAGCGAAAUGCGAUAAGUAAUGUGAAUUGCAGAAUUCAGUGAAUCAUCGAAUCUUUGAACGCACAUUGCGCCCGCCAGUAUUCUGGCGGGCAUGCCUGUCUGAGCGUCAUUUCAACCCUCAUGCCCCUAGGGCGUGGUGUUGGGGAUCGGCCAAGGCCCGCAAGGGACGGCCGGCCCCUAAAUCUAGUGGCGGACCCGUCGUGGCCUCCUCUGCGAAGUAGUGAUAUUCCGCAUCGGAGAGCGACGAGCCCCUGCCGUUAAACCCCCAACUUUCCAAGGUUGACCUCAGAUCAGGUAGGA
rnacentral:rRNA from 1 species